GCCAGCAGCCAUAUCACCCUGCAGUUCACAGCUGGCAGCCCACUGAAGCUAAGCAGGUGUGAGCCUGGUCAGUACCUGGAUAGGUGUCCUCCUGGGAAAAACUAAGGUUGCUGCUGGAA
rnacentral:rRNA from 1 species